UUAUAGAGUAAGAAAUUGAGAUUCAGGAAUAUUAAUUUGCCCAGGAUCAUCCAAGUGGAAUGAACAUCAAAAGCCUAUUCCCUCUGCUUGGCCACUUCCACCACCUCAUUUUACUAAGUUUCCCCGUGUCUGUGUUAGUAAACUAAUAACUAAAAGGGUCUUGCAUUUUAAAUAGCUUUUUAACCCAAGAGCAUGCCACAUUUAGCCAGAGGCCCAUAGAACAAACUAAAAAUUACAACCUAAAAGAAUGUUUCUAAGGUUGUAUUGAGAAGGAAUUGAGCUCUUGAAUCCCUAGAAUUCCUUAUUAAUACUUUAUUCUUCUGUUAAAAGUUUUAUUUUUAAAAGUUUCAUACAGUGUGUAUAUUGGUGUGAUAAUCCUACAGAAAAAUCAAGCAGUUACGUUUUCUUCACAGAUAACAUAUAAAAUAUUAAACACAAUUAAAGCCUAUGUUAUUCAUUGGACUGAAGCUUUUAUGCAAUAAACCUUAGUUGGACCAGGAGUAAAUGUAUGGUUUGAUAUUCAGAGAAUCUCAUUCUUAGAAGCAACAAAGUAUAGUUAACACUAACUUGUUCAUUCUUAAAUCAGUAGUCCUCUCCUCCCAAAAAAGAGAUCUUAAAUUAUUUUCAUUUUAAAGUCAUCUAUUAACAACUUACCACAGUGCGGAGACUACUUUCUGAAAAGGCCACUCAUGUGAACACUAGGGAUGAAGAUGAGUAUACCCCUCUUCACCGAGCAGCCUACAGUGGACACUUAGAUAUUGUCCGGGAGCUCAUUGCACAGGGGGCAGAUGUUCAUGCAGUGACUGUGGAUGGCUGGACGCCCCUGCACAGUGCAUGUAAGUGGAAUAAUACCAGAGUGGCUUCUUUCUUACUGCAGCAUGAUGCAGAUAUCAAUGCCCAAACAAAAGGCCUCUUGACCCCCUUGCAUCUUGCUGCUGGGAACAGAGACAGCAAGGAUACUCUAGAACUCCUCCUGAUGAACCGUUAUGUCAAACCGGGGCUGAAAAACAACUUGGAAGAAACUGCAUUUGAUAUUGCCAGGAGGACAAGUAUCUAUCACUACCUCUUUGAAAUUGUGGAAGGCUGUACGAAUUCUUCACCUCAGUCUUAACAAUUCUAGUAAUUUUCCUAAGUUUCUAAAUACCAGUGCCUCCUUUGUGUGAGAUGUAUUCCCAUAAUCAAAGUUGACGUUAAACAUCUUACUACAAAAAUUCAGUGAUAUUCAUUAUAACAUUCUUCCAAGUGAAUUGCCUGACUUUGAUGUCAAAAUGUAUUUGAAAGUAAUUUGCAUAUAUCUUUAAUGAUUUCUGUGGAGUUUGUGAUUUUUUAUCAGAAUUAAUUUUAAUGUGUGUAUACUUAAAAACUUGACACGGGUUGUACAGAAACUGGUAUUUUUGGUGCUGAUCCAAGAGAAAUGUAUUUUUAAAUAUCCCACAUCCUGGAUCUUUGUUGAGUACUUAGCAUAUUGACAUAUAUUUUUAUAAGGUGAGGUAACUCAGAACUUAAUUUAAAAGUCUUAAAUAUUCUGAUACAAUUCAGCUGUCUUCUCUACCUUACCAUAGCCAGUUGCUUUCAUUUUAAACCAGAGCAAGUAACAUAUUAAUGACUUGAAGCUUCAGAAGUUAAAGAAAAAAACAGCAAAAAACCUAGAUCUUUGUCUUUUAGAACACAGACCAUUUCCAGGAAAGCAGUUAGCUAGGUGUUUAAUUCAUGAAUAUUGUAUACUGCCUCCCCUACCACAAUUUAAACAAUCCUGUGGAUAGUCCUACCUCACCCUGAUCAACCUACAUGAUCCUUAAGCUAAUGGCAAAUCACAAUGACCUUGUAGACAUGCACACAACUAUACCUUUGUCCAACAGAUCAUGAUAUAUCUGCUAUCCAACUGGUUUUACCUGCCUAAUCCUACUGAUUUGGGCACUGCUUAUAUAGUCUCUCAAGUUCACAGGAAAUGUUGAUUUUCUAAGGUCCUCAUUUUUACAGACUAUACAAAGGCAAAGUGACAGGCGAAAAGGAAUUAGUGUAAGAGUACGGGGAUGAUUAUUAUAUUGAGGCUAAAACCACAAAGUGGCUCAGGCUUUAAAAAAAACACUGUGGAUAAUGACAAAAAGCAUAAGUAAAAAUAUUUGAGAAAAAUAAAGUACAAGUUUUGAACAAC
rnacentral:sRNA from 1 species